rnacentral:rRNA from 1 species
UACCAGCACCCCGAGUGGUCGGGACGAUUAUUGGGCCUAAAGCAUCCGUAGCCGGUUCUGCAAGUCCCCCGUUAAAUCCAGCUGCUCAACAGAUGGGCCGCGGAGGAUACUACAGAGCUAGGAGGCAGGAGAGGCAAGCGGUACUCAGUGGGUAGGGGUAAAAUCCGUUGAUCCAUUGAAGACCACCAGUGGCGAAGGCGGCUUGCCAGAAUGCGCUCGACGGCGAGGGAUGAAAGCUGGGGGAGCAAACCGG